UGUGAGUGGAGGAGACACUGUAAGCAGGAUACAAGCUACAGUCCAGCCAGAAGGCAUUGGACAGUCCAAGUACUUUCUGGUUAAUCCUUGUCUGAUGGGCCCUCACUGGACCUCUGGAGCAGUGUUGAUAGAACCCUCUGAGCUUGCCCAGAUUUCCCCAGUUUUACCAUGUCCUCCAGGAUAAAAGUCCAAGACUGCAAAUGAUGUGUAUAUGGUGGUCACCUGCUUAGAUUUACAAGAAACUACCAAACCAAGUCAAACUCUGGUUACAGAAGCUAAAAUGAACAAUGGUUUAAAGAGAGGGAAUGUUGUAAGAGAUGCAAAGAAACUGAUCACUUGUGCACAGCUGAUGGGAAUAUAAAAUGGCACAGCUACUCUGGA